AUCGGUCCUGAACCCUGCCUCUGCCAGCCAGUCGCCCUUAAGGUGCAGGCUGGGCGUGCGGCUGUAGUACGUGGUCAUACCGGUAGCCCGCUUAAUAUGCUGGACACUG
rnacentral:sRNA from 1 species